CCCACUCUUAUAUAUAGAUUUAAAUUUUCAUUCCGAUUCCGAUUUCUAUCAUGAAGCAAACGCUUCAGGAAAUUUGAUCAUUUCGAUUUCGAUUCCAAUCGCGAACCAAGCACACCCACAGAAUCUACUAAGAUCCAAGUGGGACGAUUGUUAUUUAAGUCACUAAUAAUUUGGAGAUAAACAAAGGAUUAAGAAAGGUUGAUCAAGUUAGAAGGUGGGGACCAUUUUGUCCUCCUCAUCAAAUGUUAGGGAUUUCCAGUAUCUCUCCAGAAAGGGGAUUAUGUUGGAGCUGAGCUUGGAAGCAGUCUGUUAUGUCAAAAAUGCGAGUCCCUGGAAGGAGUCAACAUGUCAAGAAAACCUCCUCUCGAUCCAAUGAGUCUGAACCGGUUGAAGCAACUGCCGGUUGAAGCUGGUUCAACAUAUCUAUAAGUCAAAUGGUUAGAGAGAAUGAGAUGGCCUAAAUUUGGUCUAACUGGCCCCAGAGCUUGAAAACCUAGGUCUAACCUGGCUCAAUAGAAAAACAAGGGCUCAAACUGAUUCAAGCUGGAUAGGCAAGCUGGUCAGGCUCG
rnacentral:lncRNA from 1 species